AUUCUGAACACUUUAAUUUUCUUGUAAUAAGAGUUAAAACAGAAUGUAAAUUCACUUUAGUUAAAAUUAGUACUGUACUCUGAGAUAAUUAUUGAUAGUGAGGUCUUUCUCAAGCGGAAAAUUCAAAACUAAGAGAUAUUAAGUUAUGACCUUUAUCGUGGACAGCACAGUUAAGUAUUAUUUAUGUUUACAUGUGUUAUCAGCUGGUAAAAAUGCCAUAUGAUAGUACAAAGCAAAGGGUGUUUUUAAUUGUUAGAAGCACGUAUCUACAGGGUGGCGCAAGUUUUUUGGUGAAACGGAAUUGAUUUGCUGGUCUAAAAUUUAAUGCAACUGUUUAAUUUUUGGGCAGCAAUACUUUUACUCUUAAUAACUUGGCCACAACCCGUGCGAAAAAAGAAGGCGAAGGCAUAAAAACAAAUGCUAAAACGUACAUAUAUUUGUACAUAUAUUCAAACGGCUUGGAAUUACCCAUCAUUUAGAUAUGGACAUGGAUAUUUCUUAAUAAAUUUAUGUAAACUUGUAUUGUAUUAAAAAUAUUUCCAAUUUAUUCAAAUAAAUCAUUGCACAUAUUAAAUAUAUUUAGCACAUGCAA